AUGGGCCCGCGGCGCAUUAGCUUGUUGGUGGGGUAAUGGCUUACCAAGGCGACGAUGCGUAGCUGGUCUGAGAGGACGAUCAGCCACACUGGGAGUGAGACACGGCCCAGNCUCCUACGGGAGGCAGCAGUGGGGAAUCUUGCACAAUGCGCGAAAGCGUGAUGCAGCAACGCCGCGUGCGGGAAGAAGGCCUUAGGGUUGUAAACCGCUUUCAGUUGGGACGAAGCUUUGAUCGUUAAUAGCGGUUUGGAGUGACGGUACCUUCAGAAGAAGCGCCGGCUAACUACGUGCCAGCAGCCGCGGUAAUACGUAGGGCGCGAGCGUUGUCCGGAAUCAUUGGGCGUAAAGCGCGUGUAGGCGGCUGAGUAAGUCUGCUGUGAAAGUCCAGGGCUCAACCCUGGAAUGUCGGCGGAUACUGCUCAGCUGGAGUACGGGAGGGGCGAGUGGAAUUCCUGGUGUAGCGGUGGAAUGCGCAGAUAUCAGGAGGAACACCUAUGGCGAAGGCAGCUCGCUGGAACGUUAUCUGACCGAUGAAGACGCGAAAGCGUGGGGAGCAAAUCAGGAUUAGAUACCCCUGGUAGUCC
rnacentral:rRNA from 1 species